UUUUCCUGCUGACCGUGGCCCAAGUCGUAAUAAACUUGGAAAAUUCCACUUUAGUUUAAUCAUAUCGGUCGCUAGAAUGUUUACGUGAAUAAUUUUCCAAAAAAUAUAAAUUUUUGCUGGUUCGGACAGCAAAAUAAAUACAAAGGUACAGUGAUAGUAGUGAAAAAUAUCUGGUUUUCUUAAAGUCUUAUAAACAAUUUAUUCGUUAUACGUAAAUGUUGCUAAUAAAGACAAAACCUGCUGCUAUCAAGUGCAAAAGCGUUACCCAUGGAUAAAAUCAAUGCAAUUUUCUUUUUAUGUUGAAUAAGUGCAUAAUGGGGAACAAAAAUUACUUUCUGGUGCAUCCUCCAGCCCAGCCAUCGAACAAGAACCCCCUAGCAGUGGGCUAAUUCAAGGAUCGUCUUUAUAAGGACACUUUGAGGAAUGGUACAUCUUCCAGUCCAGCCAUCGAACAAGAACCACCCCAGCAGUGGGUCAUAUCGAGGAUCGUCUUUAUCAGGACACUUGGAGAAAUGGUA